AUACGUAGGUGACAAGCGUUAUCCGGAUUUACUGGGCGUAAAGGGCGUGUAGGCGGUCUUGCAAGUCAGAAGUGAAAUUCCUGAGCUCAACUCGGGCGCUGCUUCUGAAACUGCAGGACUUGAGUGCUGGAGGGGAUAGCGGAAUUCCUAGUGGAGCGGUAAAAUGCGCAGAUAUUAGGAAGAACACCGGUGGCGAAGGCGGCUAUCUGGACAGUAACGGACGCUGAGGCGCGAAAGCGUGGGGAGCAAACAGGAUGAGAUUCCCUGAUAGUCCACGCCGUAAACGAUGAAUACUAGGUGUAGGGGGUAUCGACUCCCUCUGUGCCGCAGUUAACACAAUAAGUAUUCCGCCUUGGGAGUACGGCCGCAAGGUUGAAACUCAAAUGAAUUGACGGGG
rnacentral:rRNA from 1 species